rnacentral:rRNA from 1 species
ACUCCUGCGGGAGGCAGCAGUGAGGAAUAUUGGACAAUGGGUGGAAGCCUGAUCCAGCCAUCCCGCGUGCAGGAAGACGGCCCUAUGGGUUGUAAACUGCUUUUAUCUGGGGAUAAACCUACUUACGUGUAAGUAGCUGAAGGUACCAGAAGAAUAAGCACCGGCUAACUCCGUGCCAGCAGCCGCGGUAAUACGGAGGGUGCAAGCGUUAUCCGGAUUUAUUGGGUUUAAAGGGUCCGUAGGCGGACUGAUAAGUCAGUGGUGAAAUCCGACAGCUUAACUGUCGAACUGCCAUUGAUACUGUUAGUCUUGAGUAAGGUUGAAGUGGCUGGAAUAAGUAGUGUAGCGGUGAAAUGCAUAGAUAUUACUUAGAACACCAAUUGCGAAGGCAGGUCACUAAGUCUUAACUGACGCUGAUGGACGAAAGCGUGGGGAGCGAACAGGAUUAGAAACCCGGGUAGUCCCAUG